GCACAUGGUGUUUUGAUAGGGAUUGCGUUGAAUCUAUAGAUUGCUUUGGGUGUGUGGACAUAAAAUCCAACAUAACAUGACAUUCUUUCUUUACAACCCAAUACCCUUUUCUGCUUCAUCUCCUGAGACAUUCCGUGCACUGCCUUCCCCGUCCAUCCAUUAUGGUAUCACCCCAGUCCUUGCCAACACUGUCCCCCAGCUCAAGAGGGCCAGUCACAAUUAUUCCAGCACACUGCUUGCUUUUCUGCCCCCAAACUGUUACCCAGAUAAUUUUCUCUCUGUCAAACAUUCUCUUUCACUUCUUUACUUACCAGAAUCCUACCUCCUGGGCAAAACUAAAUGUAAGUACCACCUACUGAAAGGGAAGCUGUCUUGUCCCUGCUGCCGUGAGCAGUGUUAUGUCUCCACAUCUGUCCUUGGACAUGUCAGAGUCUGACUUUCAUGCUGUCUAAUUGCAUGUGUGCUGCCCCAAUAGAAUGGGACUUCCUUGGGAUCGGCCGGGCAUAUUAUUCACCCAUAGACCCCAGUGUCUUGCUUGGCAACCCACUUAUACUGGUUGAAUUUAAGGGAAUCAUAGCUCACAAGACCCUACAUGAUCUUGCCCCACCACCUUUUCAGAUUCAUGUUGAAUACUCUCUUGCUCACUCUCUCUCCAGCCAGCAAUCCCUCCGUUUAACCACAGGGUCUGCAGACCUGGCUCCCUGCGCACUGGCACCUCGGGCUAGACAAGGCCUGUGAGUGCAUGUGCAUUGUUCUCUCUCACCAAGAUGAAUGGAUAAAGCAGCUAUUGAAGGCACAGGCAGAAGAAAACUGGGUGGUGAGUCUCCCAGAGCUCCUAGGCCAGCAAAGAAGGGCAGGUGACCCUGACACUGACAUUGUGGUUCAGGGAAGGAUGUCUGUCUCCAUGGAGCUGGAGGCGCUGGGGAGGGUGGCAGACAUGGUUGAUUCCCUAGAUCCACUCUCUUCUUUUCCCUUCCUAUCAGAACUGCAAUGCGUUCAAUUUAAACUACCGAUUUCCCAGACUUCUUUGCAAUGAGGGGUGUCCAUAUGACCCAACUCUGGCCAAGGAGAUGGGAACAGAACUGUCCUGAGUGAGAAUUCUAAGAAAGACACAGUAGUAUGUACCUUUUGCCCUUGGAUUUUUUUCUUCCUGCUCCUCCCCCUCCUCCUCCUCCUUCUCCUCUUAUUUCUCGGAAACAUGGAUGUGAUGCCUGGAGGGGAAGCAGCCAUCUUGCAACCAGGAAGAAAGAAGUCUCCUACUAAGGAGGUCGGACAGGCGGCCAUCAACAACAUCUGAAUGACUUCAUUGUGGAGUUCUGGCUUCAUGAGAAAAUUCAGCUCCUAUUACAUACAUGUGCAGUAGCUCAUUAUCUGUUCCGAGCAGUUAGCACGGCCCUACCUGAUACGAGUGAGGGCCCAGCUGGGAGCACAGCGUUUCAUCCUGACAAAGCCCCUCCCCUGGAAGACCUCCCUGCCAGGCACAGCCCCGCGGGCACAGGCUGGCACAGCCAGCAUGUCGAGGACACACACUCCACCAGCUCUCCUCUUGGAGUGGGUCCUGCAUGGCCCCUUCCCUUCGCUACCUUGAUGCCAAGGCCUUAAUUGGAGGGAAGGGAAGAAAUCAGAGGCCGCCAUAGUGGGAAAGUCGGAAAUAAAAUCUCGCUCUGCCUUCCCCCCAGGAAAAAAACAAGCCGUGACAAAGCCUGGGUGAGGUUUGUUUUGAAGUGAAAAAUCCACGCCAGUUCCAUUAGUUUGGAAAACCAGUUGCUGCCUGAAUAACUGAAACCUGUCCUAUAAGCGUGAACUGUCACCUCAAGGUGCUGGCCUCUAAUUGUGAACACACGUCGGCCAGAGCUGCUGGUUCUCCAGACUGGAGCACGUGACGCCUCCUCCCCCAGCCCUUCCACCCUGACAAUAUGCCACCAUUGCCGCUCCCAGUGAUGCCCCGGGAGAAAGCCAAGCGAUGCUGCCUUCGGAGAUAAUGGCGUUGGAAAUGCAAUGCUAAUGGCUCCCCAGACAAGACCAGAAUAGCCUCCUGUUCUGCCUUCCUGGCGCACAGAGGCCGCAGCCUGUGAGCAUCCGCAGGCGCCUCACGCCCCGCCCUCCCCGAGUGCCCGGAGCCAGCUUCAUGGCGAGAGCCACCUGUUCAUCAUCAGAGAGUUUUGUCCAACCCGCUGGAUGGGCUCAGAGCAGAGGCGCAGCUGAGUGUUUGAGCCGGGAGAACCUGCGGCCCAGCAGGCACCUCCAUUCAGACUAUAAACUCGCUUUGCAAGUUGAUCAUCACCCACUAACUGGGCCAUGUUUGCCAUGCAGUUAAGAUGGAUUUGAAUCCACUUAUUUUCUUUUGCACCCCAGCUCCCACCCCCACCCAAAGCCUGAGCUGGUGUUUAAGAAAACAAUAAAAAUGACGUGGGCUGGUGGACUGCUGACCUUCUUUAUAUGGAAGUCACGUGAAGGCUGCAGACCAACUGCCAGGGGCAAGAGGAACGUCCCUGCACUUCUCCCAGGAGGCCUGGCGUCCCGGGGCUGCUGCUGGCCUGUCUUGGGAAGGGGGCUCAAUUCUGAUGACAGUGGGCAUUCAAGAAGGAUGCUGGGCAGGACUUGUAUCCAAGCUGAGGUGUGGCUGGUGGAGUCGAUGGGUAUCAAGCUCGCUAUUCUGGCCAUUCGCUGGAACAGCCCUGGACGCACCCACUCCCUGCACAUUGUUAGAACCCACAACUGUCCUCCUACGUUGAACUCACAACUUCCUGCUUUAGCCCUGGGAGGAGGGCUGCAGCAGUUAGCCUGGGAAUCAACCGAAUUGCCUACUCUCAGAUGAUCUGCAAUUCAUGCCUUAGAUUUUGUAAUGCCACCUCUGGGCAGCCAGCUGCUCGGCAAGGCAGAGCGCCUGCCAGAGAGAGACCGGGUGGAGGCGACCCUGACGCCUUGGAUGUCCCGUCCCAGCUGGGGCUGAAGGCAGCCCCUGGAGCGAGCCGACCACAGACCUCUCAGCGGCCGGCCCGGCUCCUACUCCUCAGACCAGGAGAGCAUCGCGAGGUGGUGCUUUAAACACCAACCGGGAGCAUUUUGUUCGCAGCAACAGAUGGCUAACAGGAGGCAAUGGGGCCACCCGUGAGCCAGAUGCUCCGGAGGGGGGGCCUGGGCAUCAGCAUUUUAACAGGCCCCGCUGCCCCUGAGAGGGGACUGAUUGGCUCAGCCCCGUAACCCGUUCUCGGCCCGGGCGGACCAGAGCGAGGCCUCCCGAGAAUGGGUCUGGCCGCUUUCCCUUGCCCACUCACCUCUCAGGGUGUCUGUCACAUGCUGCCUGAACUCGUGGAAAACAUUUUAAAAUAUUAA